AAUACACCCCACGUUACAGGUGCCUUUUAGGCUUAAUAGGGAAGUUCGGUGAAGUUUAUAAUCCGACGCUGCCCCCGCAACGGUAAUUAAGUAAAUGUUUAGCUAAUAACCACUUUAUUGCUGCAAUAUGGGAAGGUGCUAAAUAGGCGCAAGCCACUUAUGAGUCCGGAGACCUACCUUUAACAAUUGGCAAUG
rnacentral:ncRNA from 2 species